rnacentral:rRNA from 1 species
AGUGAACGCUGGCGGUAGGCCUAACACAUGCAAGUCGAACGGCAGCACAGUAAGAGCUUGCUCUUACGGGUGGCGAGUGGCGGACGGGUGAGGAAUACAUCGGAAUCUACUUUUUCGUGGGGGAUAACGUAGGGAAACUUACGCUAAUACCGCAUACGACCUACGGGUGAAAGCAGGGGAUCUUCGGACCUUGCGCGAUUGAAUGAGCCGAUGUCGGACUAGCUAGUUGGCGGGGUAAAGGCCCACCAAGGCGACGAUCCGUAGCUGGUCUGAGAGGAUGCUCCCCCCCACUGGAACUGGACCACGGCCCAAGCCCUUACGGGGGCGCGCAGUGGGGAAUUUUGGAAAAUGGGCGCAAGCCUGAUCCAGCCAUCCCGCGUGGGUGAAGAAGGCCUUCGGGUUGUAAAGCCCUUUUUUUGGGAAAGAAAAGCAGCAGGUUAAUACCCCGCUGUUCUGACGGUACCCAAAAAAUAAGCCCCGGCUAACUUCGU